AUGAUACUCCCGCCAGCAGUUCCACGCGUCGACAAUGAUCUAAAUAAAGCCAAGAAGAAAAGCAAAAGACAACGGCUGGAAGAAGACAAGGAUGAUGCCAGCAAAGAGUCCAUGCGUGAUGCUGCCGACAACGACGAUGGCACAAAACAUGAUGAUGAUGUCAUUCGUACAGAGGGCGAUGGCGCCGCAGGGGACAACGGUGGCACCGCAGAGGACAGCAACGAUGAUGUAAAACCAAGACAGAAGCGCACAAAGAGGAGAAAGACAAGUGGAAAAGAAUUGGCAGCACCAACAGAUGAUGAACAGGAGGCAACAACAAAUAAGGACAAAUGCGAAAUCAAGGCAGGACCAACAUUUGAUAAUGUCAAUAGAGCAUGGAAAUUACUUGAAGAACGUCACCGGCGAGAUGUUAGGAGCGCCGGGUUUGGAAGCAUAGAGGAAUGCCAAAUAAAGCGGUCCAUCUGCAAACAGCUUGCAGCACACAUCUACGACAACCUGGACACAGAAACCAUGAAAAUAACGUUUGGUGAAGCUGAUCAGCAGAAAGAAAUCAUAAUAACAAAGGAAGGCAUCCACAAGGUGUUUGGAUACCCAAACGGUACGCAAAAGACAGCACCAAGGCCACAGAUUUCCACCGAUACAAUGAGUGAACUGGUCACAGAACUUGGCCUCAAGAAAAUGGAUUUCCAUCACGACGAUCUGUUUAAAGAACUAGAAAAAUUGGUGAAAGAAGAUGAUGAACAAUCAAACAGGAAAUCAGUUAAAAUAUUUUUCCUUAUUUUUUUCCACAACGUUGUCUGUGGAACAACCUCCCCUACCUUCGCCCGACAAGCCAUUAUGGUAAAGGACUUGGACUAUCCAGAAAUGGCAAAGAUGGAUUUCUGCCAGGUAAUCGUCGAAAGUAUUAGGGAAGGAGCCAAGAUAUGGCAGAAGCACAGGUUGUUGCCUCACGAAGAAAAGAACAAAAAGCAUCUCAAUGGUUUGGCACAGGGACCAGUAAUAAUGUACCUUGACUGCCUGCUGCUGCCGACCGACACAAAACAAAUGCACAAGAUUGCCAAGACAAUGGACAAGACAUCGUUACCGCGAGCAAACCACCUAAAAGAGAGUGACCUAAAGAAAAUAGCUAGAGCAGACAUGAAAAAGGACGGAAAAGCACGACAAGAUGACUAUGAAUUUGGCAAGAUAAAGACAUGGAAAGGAACAGCAGAGAGGAUCUUCUAUGCCAGCACAGCAACACCUUCGUACUCAAUACAGAUGAUACCAGCACAACAACAGGAGCACCAGCAGACGACCAAGCUACUACCACCUCCAACCAAGCGCCAGGACGAAGCACAUGUCAGCACAAGUGGAAGCAAGGAACCAGUCACAGGCACCAGCACAGGAUCAUAUGAAAUAUUCGGAAGGAUAGAAAAAAUGUUGAAACAAGUACUCGACGAAACAAAACAGAUACCUGCAAUAACGACCAGGGCUGUACACCAAUGCAGCAAACAAGAGAAGGAAUUAGAUGAAAGAAUGAAGAACACAGUGGUGCAACAAACAACGGCUCUGAUUGAUUCUCUCGAACAACUUAGAGAAUUUCAGGACAUUGUUUGCAGAGUGAGCUUACGAGAAGAGACGACGCUGAAGUUGCAGGAUCGAGCAGACGCAGGAGACACAACCGCACUUGUACAUGGCAACCACACGAAAGAAGUCGUAGCCGCAGCAGAACCAGGAGGGAGGAGAAACAGAAAGAAGGAAGAACAAGACCAACAAAACAAACAUGAAGGGAAGAAAAGAAUAACAAAAUCAAGAACACAGACCUCGAGAAUUAGUCGGAGGGAGACAAAAGAACAUAACAAGGUGCAAAAAGAGCAAAACAAGGAGCAUGUAUCAACCAACACAGCAAGUGCCGAAGGACAGCAAGAACAAGGUAGAAAAGUAGCUAUAGCAGAAUCAAGAUGA
rnacentral:rRNA from 1 species